rnacentral:rRNA from 1 species
AUUGAACGCUGGCGGCAGGCCUAAUACAUGCAAGUCGAGCGAGCGGCGGAAGGGUGAGUAAUGUCUGGGAAACUGCCUGAUGGAGGGGUAUAACUACUGGAAACGGUAGCUACUACCGCAUACCAUCAGAUGUGCCCAGAUGGGAUUAGCUCGUGGUUGGGGUAACGGCUUACCUAGGCGACGAUCCCUAGCGGGUCUGAGAGGAUGACCAGCCACACUGGAACUGAGACACGGUCCAGACUCCUACGGGAGGCAGCAGUGGGGAAUAUUGCACAAUGGGCGCAAGCCUGAUGCAGCCAUGCCGCGUGUGUGAAGAAGGCCUUCGGGUUGUAAAGCACUUUCAGCGGGGAGGCGUUACCCGCAGAAGAAGCACCGGCUAACUCCGUGCCAGCAGCCGCGGUAAUAC